CACGUAGGGUGCGAGCGUUGUCCGGAAUUAUUGGGCGUAAAGAGCUCGUAGGUGGUUUGUCGCGUUGUUCGUGAAAACUCACAGCUUAACUGUGGGCGUGCGGGCGAUACGGGCAGACUGGAGUACUGCAGGGGAGACUGGAAUUCCUGGUGUAGCGGUGGAAUGCGCAGAUAUCAGGAGGAACACCGAUGGCGAAGGCAGGUCUCUGGGCAUUAACUGACGCUGAGGAGCGAAAGCAUGGGGAGCGAACAGG
rnacentral:rRNA from 1 species